rnacentral:rRNA from 1 species
GACGAACGCUGGCGGCGCGCUUAACACAUGCAAGUCGAGCGAUGAAACUUUAACAGAACCCUUCGGGGCGAAGAUAAAGUGGAUUAGCGGCGGACGGGUGAGUAACACGUGAGUAACCUGCCUUAGACUUUGGGAUAGCCUCGGGAAACCGGGAUUAAUACCAAAUAAAAUCAUAAUGACACAUGUCAUAACGAUCAAAACUCCGGUGGUCUAAGAUGGACUUGCGUCCCAUUAGCUAGUUGGUAGAGUAAAAGCCUACCAAGGCGACGAUGGGUAGCCGGCCUGAGAGGGUGAACGGCCACAUUGGAACUGAGAAACGGUCCAAACUCCUACGGGAGGCAGCAGUGGGGAAUAUUGCACAAUGGAGGGAACUCUGAUGCAGCGACGCCGCGUGAACGAAGAAGGCUUUCGAGUCGUAAAGUUCUUUUAUAUGGGAAGAUAAUGACGGUACCAUAAGAAAAAGCCCCGGCUAACUACGUG